rnacentral:rRNA from 1 species
AAUAGCAAGUGUGUCCCACCUGAUUCCAUUCCGAACUCAGAAGUGAAACCACUUAGCGCCGAUGGUAGUGU